rnacentral:lncRNA from 1 species
ACGGUCCCCUCCCGCUGCGCACACUGCCGACCCUGCGGCCGCGCGCUCUCCAGCCCUGCGCCUCUUUUGUGUGGCUGCGGCGCGCCGGGCUCCGCCGGGUGGAGUUGAGCCCGCGGCGGCUGCUCCGGGCGGCCGGACUGGCGGCUGUUGCUAAGAGACCGGAGCCAUGACACAGGGAAAUUGCGGCAGGAUGGCAGGAAACUACAGUUUUCCUAUUUAUUGUGUUAAAUACACAUAUGACCCCACGCGCAGAGGAGAGGAAUUAAGAAAGAUCCUACGUUAUAGCUGUUCCUGCAAAAGAUCUCUCAUCAGAACGGACUGUUCUGUUUAAAGGCUUACUCUAGGAGAAUGAAAACCACCAGGACGCACUACUUCGUUUCCUCAGCCAUGAAGGAAUGGAAGGAAGGACUUGGAGUGUCACAGCUGAACCCACAAGGGAGGACUGCCAGCCAACUUGGAGUCUAGAAGCUGUGCUCCUCAGCUUGGACUUCAGGGCUCCAUCAGCAGUUCUGGUUCCUUGACUUUCUGUUCCCAUCUCUACUGGCCUGUGGGGACACUAGGGUUGUGAUGGUUUCUAUAUGCUUGGUGGUCCGGGGAGUGGCAUGAUUAGAAGGUAUGGCCCUGUUGGAGUAGGAGUGACCCUGUGGGUGUGGGCUAUAAGACCCUUAUCCUAGCUGCCUGGAAGUCAGUAUUCUGCUAGUGACCUUCAGAUGAAGAUGUAGAACUCUCAGCUCCUUCAGCACCAUGCCUGCCUGGAUGCUGCAAUGCUCCCACCUUGAUGAUAAUGGACUGAACCUUUGAACCUGUAAGCCAGUCGCAAUUAAACGUUGUCCUUA